UACCGAAGUUUUCCUCGGUAGUUAACUGCAACCGAUUUUUUCAAACUUCGACAGUUAACUGCCGAAGGGCAU
rnacentral:pre_miRNA from 1 species